rnacentral:tRNA from 28 species
GGGUCUGUAGCUCAGUUGGUUAGAGCGCACCCCUGAUAAGGGUGAGGUCGGCAG